rnacentral:rRNA from 1 species
AGAGUUUGAUCAUGGCUCAGAUUGAACGCUGGCGGAAUGCUUUACACAUGCAAGUCGAACGAUGAACCUUAGCUUGCUAAGGGGAUUAGUGGCGAACGGGUGAGUAAUAUAUCGGAACGUGCCUUGUAAUGGGGGAUAACUAGUCGAAAGAUUAGCUAAUACCGCAUACGCCCUGAGGGGGAAAGUAGGGGAUCUUCGGACCUUACGUUAUAAGAGCGGCCGAUAUCUGAUUAGCUAGUUGGUGGGGUAAUGGCCUACCAAGGCUUCGAUCAGUAGCUGGUCUGAGAGGACGACCAGCCACACUGGAACUGAGACACGGUCCAGACUCCUACGGGAGGCAGCAGUGGGGAAUUUUGGACAAUGGGCGCAAGCCUGAUCCAGCCAUUCCGCGUGAGUGAAGAAGGCCUUCGGGUUGUAAAGCUCUUUCGCAAGGGAAGAAAACUUACAUUCUAAUAAAGUGUGAGGCUGACGGUACCUUGAUAAGAAGCACCGGCUAACUACGUGCCAGCAGCCGCGGUAAUACGUAGGGUGCGAGCGUUAAUCGGAAUUACUGGGCGUAAAGCGUGCGCAGGCGGUUUGGCAAGUCAGAUGUGAAAUCCCCGAGCUCAACUUGGGAACUGCGUUUGAAACUGCCAGACUAGAAUAUGUCAGAGGGGGGUAGAAUUCCACGUGUAGCAGUGAAAUGCGUAGAGAUGUGGAGGAAU